AGAGUUUGAUCCUGGCUCAGGAUGAACGCUGGCGGCGUGCUUAACACAUGCAAGUCGAACGAUGAAGCCCAGCUUGCUGGGUGGAUUAGUGGCGAACGGGUGAGUAACACGUGAGUAACCUGCCCCUGACUCUGGGAUAAGCCCGGGAAACUGGGUCUAAUACCGGAUAUGACCAUGGGACGCAUGUCUUGUGGUGGAAAGAUUUAUCGGUUGGGGAUGGACUCGCGGCCUAUCAGCUUGUUGGUGAGGUAAUGGCUCACCAAGGCGACGACGGGUAGCCGGCCUGAGAGGGUGACCGGCCACACUGGGACUGAGACACGGCCCAAACUCCUACGGGAGGCAGCAGUGGGGAAUAUUGCACAAUGGGCGCAAGCCUGAUGCAGCCAUGCCGCGUGUGUGAAGAAGGCCUUCGGGUUGUAAACCUCUUUUGUUAGGGAGCAAUUUGUGUUGAGUGUACCUUUCGAAUAAGCACCGGCUAACUACGUGCCAGCAGCCGCGGUAAUACGUAGGGUGCAAGCGUUAUCCGGAUUUAUUGGGCGUAAAGCGAGCGCAGGCGGUUUUUUAAGUCUGAUGUGAAAGCCCUCGGCUUAACCGAGGAAGUGCAUCGGAAACUGGGAAACUUGAGUGCAGAAGAGGACAGUGGAACUCCAUGUGUAGCGGUGAAAUGCGUAGAUAUAUGGAAGAACACCAGUGGCGAAGGCGACUUUCUGGACGAAAACUGACGCUGAGGCGCGAAAGCCAGGGGAGCGAACGGGAUUAGAUACCCUGGUAGUCCACGCCGUAAACGAUGUCGAUUUGGAGGUUGUGCCCUUGAGGCGUGGCUUCCGGAGCUAACGCGUUAAAUCGACCGCCUGGGGAGUACGGCCGCAAGGUUAAAACUCAAAGGAAUUGACGGGGGCCCGCACAAGCGGCGGAGCAUGCGGAUUAAUUCGAUGCAACGCGAAGAACCUUACCUGGGCUUGACAUGUUCCCGACGAUCCCAGAGAUGGGGUUUCCCUUCGGGGCGGGUUCACAGGUGGUGCAUGGUCGUCGUCAGCUCGUGCUGGGAGAUGUUGGGUUAAGUCCCGCAACGAGCGCAACCCUCGUUCCAUGUUGCCAGCACGUAGUGGUGGGGACUCAUGGGAGACUGCCGGGGUCAACUCGGAGGAAGGUGGGGAUGACGUCAAAUCAUCAUGCCCCUUAUGUCUUGGGCUUCACGCAUGCUACAAUGGCCGGUACAAUGGGUUGCGAUACUGUGAGGUGGAGCUAAUCCCUAAAAGCCGGUCUCAGUUCGGAUUGGGGUCUGCAACUCGACCCCAUGAAGUCGGAGUCGCUAGUAAUCGCAGAUCAGCAACGCUGCGGUGAAUACGUUCCCGGGCCUUGCACUCACCGCCCGUCAAG
rnacentral:rRNA from 1 species